AUUUGAAGGUUGACUUUUUUUGUAUUAAAAACACUUUUCUUUUAUUGGUCGGAUGAAAUAUGCUAAUUUUUUGAGAUCAUUUGAUCAUUUAUUAUACUACAUAGCAUUAUACAUCACUAGUUGUCCGCGACCAACAAUGUUGAUCUGCUGUGGUACAAGUCCUUGUGGGGAUUGAAAGAAUCCCAUCUUCUCUUGUUCCGUUGUGGUCGCCUUUUUGUAGGUUUAAAUAAUGAUUUAAUGAUUUGAUAUUUAUUUGUCGCCGUCAUGGCUAUAAUGCUUCUCUGACGAGCCGCUUUUUCUUCAGCUUUUGUCGUGGUACUGCAGGUUACACCAGCAGCAUGCCCGUGGACACUGCAGACCAGCGGUUUGCAUGUGUACUGCAUGUUGAUGUGGACAACGACUCAGAAGUAUAAAUGAAAACUGAUGCAUAGCCUAUGGCGUAGAGGAUGUACAUAACAAAAUUCUUCAGCUCAGCCUCCUUCUGAUGGAGAGUUUAUAAAGAGCAGCAGACUUCACUCUUCUCACAGUCAUGGACUUCUCUGCACAGGAAUAAAAUACUUUUAAGAGUAUCCAGAUCCAUGGGUGCCCAGGUUUCAGUCGUCAAUCAGACUCCUUACACCUGGUGCUUUGACACUCAGGACAAAAGAGGGUAUAAACGCAUCGCUCCUGGAUGCACAACAUCCUACGACGAGUCUCUGGCAAUCCAUCGCUACAUCUACAUCAGAUAUGAAAAUCACUCGUGGAAUAGUUUUUCAUACGAGUUUAACACCCAUAAAGGUGACACAUCUUUUAUCCUAAAAGAAGCCCUCGACCGUUCCCAGAUUCAGUUGCACUGCACCUCUGAAGGCGGCACUCGUUACUGUCCCAACUACAGUAAGUUCCUGCAAACAUGUCAUUUCUGGACUACUCUGUACAGCCAAAAGUAUGUGACCCCCUACCAUCACAGCACAAUGUGCUUGUUCAGCAUCCCAUUCAAAAUUAAUUUAGCCUUUGCUGUUAUAAAAACAAAGAAAAAUCCAGCAACAUUUCUGGUAAAGAAAAGUUGUGUUAUUUGAAAAAAAAAAAGUUUUUUUCUUCAGUUUUUAAUACAUAUAAUAUAUUGUCUCUAAUCCCAUGGUGUCGGAUGCUGUUUUUAAACAGGAAGAAUUAAAGAAGAUGAAAACCGGAGACAGCAAGAGGAGGAGAGAAGACGUCUGGAACGGGAGUAAACAAGCACCCCCUGUUGUCCGUUGUAAUAUUUGUUGUUCUAGGGACAAAAAAAAAGUGUAGGUUCUCUUGCAGCUGGUCUGCAACCACAUGUAAGAAAUCUUGGGUAACAUUUGAUUUGUCACUAAACUUCACCAGCCAGUUUCAAAUCGGUUUUUAAAACCUCUUAACAGCAUUCACCAGCAAAGAUCACCAGCGGCCUCGGAUUAUUGCUGUUUCACAUUCACAGCAUAUUAAAACACACUAUUAUUUGAUCCGGAAAUACUGUGUGUCUUUAAAAAGAUGAAAAGUGUCGAAAGUUUUCAGAUUUUAUCCUGUUUAAUGUGUUUGUACUUUUUAUAUGCUUAAAGGAUUAGUUCACCCAAAAAUGAAAAUUCUGUCAUUAAUUACUCACCCUCAUGUCAUUCUAAACCCGUAAGACCUCUGUUCAUCUUCGAAACACAAAUUAAGAUAUUUUUGAUACAUUCUAACAGCUCUCUGAUCCUCCCAUAGACAGCAAUGUAAUUUCCACAAUCAAGGUCCAUCUGUGACACACAGAUAUGUUUGCUACGUUGUUUACGCAUUGAUUGGAAAGAAAACAAUGUAUCCGUGUGACACAGCUUACACAGAAUAUAAUACGCUGUUUGCGUUCAUUGGAUACUCUCCAAAAUGACACCAGGGUGACGUGGAGGAGACGAAUUGUUGAAUAAAGUUAUUUUUGUUUUCUUCGCGUACA
ensembl:lncRNA